AAAACUUCCAGUGUUUUAAGAGAUGACCAUGACCUUGACUCAAUAAAUUGUUUUAGCUCCAAUGAUGGUAAUGACCACGGCUCUCCAAUGUCAAGUUCUGAUGUGGAAACUUUUAACGGCAAAAUAGUUUACAAUCUCGAUGGCAGCGCAUACAUUAUCGACGCAGACAAUGCCCAUGGAAGUGGAUCGGUGUCUGUCCAAAGUUAUGCCUCAACCUCGAAUUCUGUGAAGAAACUCUUGAAAGUCAAAGAUCGAGGGCAGGAGGAGAACGAAAGAGUACAGCAGCAUUUUCAAGAGCAAAUCGAGAAGGAGGAGCUAGGCGCUGGUCCUGCUAUUGAAACCUUAGCAGGACCAACCUACAAAUCGAGUCCGAAAAUCCAUUCCUUUCGUGUGGUCUCUGCGCAAGAUGCGAACUCAGCUUGUCAGGAUCAAAUUAGAGCGUUCAAAAUUCAAAAACCCAUUUUAAUGUGUUUUAUAUGCAAGUUGUCCUUUGGCAACGUUAAGUCUUUUAGCUUGCAUGCGAGCACUGAACAUCGACUCAACCUGGAAGAGCUGGACCACCAGCUACUUAAUCGCGAGUACUCCAGUGCCAUUAUUCAGCGAAAUAUGGAUGAGAAGCCGCAGAUAUCGUUUCUCCAGCCUCUGGAUAACAAUGCCACUUGUGCUGCCAGCGAUGACACCGAGAAGCUCCAAAUAGCACCUGGUGGGGACCGUGCUGCUUCUCUUUCCCCGUCUUCUCAGCAGCCAGUUAUCGGCAGAGAGUCGGCAUCGGAAUCGGAGGUUGAGAAUAACCAGGAGAGUGAGCAGGCCCGGGUCCUGGACCAGGGACCAGGCGAGGAGCACGAGCCUAAAGUUAAUCAGGACACUAGUAGUAUUAAAAUGGCAGCACCUAGUGCAUAUCCUAUCCUAUCAUCAACGCCCAAAGUAGCAGUGAAAUCAGCUGUGAAAAUUGGUUCCUUAAACUCUGCAACAGCGAAGACUAAUAACCUAUCGAAAGUAUCCUCAAGCAGCUCACCUACAUUGGCAUACGCAUCCGAUGAGGUCUCAUUACCCAGUACUGAUAAUUUAAGUAUCCAUAAGUCAAUCAAUUGUUCCCAAGGCAAGGAACCGACCUCUUCGUCGUCGUCCUCUGAAGUGGAAAUGAAAAUGGCCUCAAUGUCUGCCUCGCCUCAAACCAACGAUUCGGAUGUUCUCUGCCCAGAUUUUCUGCAACUGCAGAAGGUGUCGGCGGGCGGUGGCAUCUACCCCCCUCAAGUUAGUUCCUUCCAUGCGUCUCUGGCAGCGCUGGCUGCUGGCAACGAACCAAAUGACAGCCGGGUCAAGCUGAUCACCGAGUUCCUCCAACAGCAACUGCAGCAACAUCAGCAGCAGAACAUAUUAUUUCCCGGCCAAUGUCCCGAUCAUCCGGACUUCAAUGGCGUGGACUGCAAAACCUGCGAGCUCUUUGAAAUCCAACAGCGGUCGAGUUCGCCGCACCAGAAUCUUCCGCAAUCCUUGCCACAGCUGCAGGUUCAGUCGCAGACCCAACAGCUUCCCCAUCGGUCUCCGUGCGGCAACAGUGCUGGCCUCGCCAUAUCACCCAGUGCCUCGUCGGUGGCCAGUGUGGGAAAUACGCCGAACGCCACCUCCAGCUUCACCAUCGGCGCCUGUUCUGAGCACAUCAAUGGUCGUCCCCAAGGAAUAGAUUGUGCGCGAUGCGAAAUGCUUUUGAGUUCAGCUCGAUUGAACAGUGGCGUUCAAAUGUCCACUCGAAAUUCCUGCAAGACUCUCAAGUGUCCGCAAUGCAACUGGCACUAUAAAUACCAGGAAACCCUGGAGAUCCACAUGCGCGAAAAGCAUCCAGAUGGUGAGAGUGCCUGUGGUUAUUGCCUGGCAGGACAGCAACAUCCUCGACUGGCACGCGGGGAAUCCUACUCCUGUGGCUACAAACCGUAUCGGUGUGAAAUCUGUAAUUACUCCACCACCACCAAGGGAAAUCUUUCGAUUCAUAUGCAAUCUGACAAGCAUCUGAAUAAUAUGCAGGAACUCAACAGCUCGCAGAAUAUGGUGGCAGCUGCGGCCGCUGCAGCGGCGACCAGCAAGUUGCUGCUCUCGAACUCAUCGCCCCAAGGUGCUGGUGCCGGCGGACCCUCUAGCAGUGGUGGCGCCCCCGGUGGGUCCGUAGGCAGCGUGGGAGGCGUUGGAUCUAACAACGGUGGUGCCAACGCAUCGAUGAGUGGCAGUGCUGCGAUUUCUGGGACCGUGAGCAUCCCAAAUGCCAAUGCCAAUGCCGGAAGCAGUACAAACAGUGGCAGCGCCAAGCCAAAACCCUCAUUCCGGUGCGAUAUCUGCAGCUAUGAGACAUCCGUGGCCCGCAACCUUCGCAUCCACAUGACCAGUGAGAAGCAUACCCACAAUAUGGCGGUGCUCCAGAACAACAUCAAGCACAUUCAGGCGUUCAACUUUCUGCAGCAACAGCAGCAGCAGCAAGGCGCCAGUGGCAAUGUUCCAGGACACAGCUCUGUGAACUAUAUGCCCGAGGUUGCGUUGGCCGAUCUGGCCUAUAACCAAGCGCUUAUGAUCCAGCUCCUCCACCAACAGCAACAGCAGCAGCAGCAGCAGCAGCAACAGCAGUCAGCCAAUACCAAAUUAUCACCCUCGUCUUCGCCAGUGAGCACUGCGGAUCAGUUCUCCUUUUCUCCGAAGCCAAUGAAGAUCAGUCAUGGAAUGGGCUUGGGAAUGCACAUGGGAAUGGGCCACUCGAAUGAGGUGCCCGGAGAUUUAUCCGGCGAGCCCCAUCCACUGAUAAAGACGGACAAGUGGCCCACGGCAUUCUAUAGUUGCCUCAUUUGCGACUGCUUCAGUACGAACAACUUGGACGAUCUCAACCAGCAUUUGUUGAUCGAUAGAUCCAGGCAGUCCUCCAGCGCCUCCACCGAAAUAAUGGUUAUUCACAAUAACAAUUACAUAUGCCGGCUAUGCAACUACAAGACAAAUCUCAAGGCCAAUUUCCAACUGCACAGCAAGACUGACAAGCAUCUGCAAAAGCUCAACUUUAUCAACCACAUCAGGGAGGGCGGACCGCGAAAUGAGUACAAGCUGCAGUACCAACAGCAGCUGGCCGCCAAUGUGGUUCAACUGAAGUGCAAUUGCUGUGACUUCCAUACGAAUUCUAUUCAGAAGCUGUCGCUGCACACCCAGCAGAUGCGUCACGACACUAUGCGAAUGAUAUUCCAGCACUUGUCGUACAUUGUUCAGCAGAGUCAAAUGCACAAGAAAUCCUCGGGCUCGGCAGAAGAUGAUCCGCAGUGUCCUCAAUCCUGCUCGGAUGAAGAACAACAACUGUCAUCGCAGUCUGCGAGGAAGAUGAUUCUCUGCCAGCUGUGCAACUUUACCGCCAAAAAUCUCCAUGAAAUGGUUCAGCAUGUGAAGGGCAUGAGGCACAUGCAAGUCGAGCAAUUCAUCUGCUUGCAGCGUCGAAGCGAAAAUCAGGAAAUCCCCACCUUGAGCGAGGUCUUCAAAGUGACCGAAUGGAUCCUGGACAGUGAAGAUAAUGCUUUUGACAGUGGCUUUAACUUGGACAAAAUCGGAACAAAUGACGGAGACUUGGAUGCCAGUAGAGUUUCGGUGUCGUCUGGGACUGGAAUCCCUGCUAUUCCCGAUAGCAGUAAAUUUUUACCUCAACUAUCUGCCUCAAGCUCCGCGUCAUUGUGCGGAAAGUCUUUGGGUCAACUUGCAUCUUCAAGUACAAAUAGCAUUGAUUCGGGUGCUCCCUUUCCUACCACAGUAUUCAAGUGCAAUCUGUGCGAAUACUUCGUUCAAUCGAAGACCGACAUGGCUGCACAUAUAGAGACUGAGCACCCCUGCGCCGAGAGUGAUGACUUUAUGAGUAUACCGACCAACACGGUUGCUUUACAGGCUUUUCAAACUGCAGUGGCAGCAGCUGCCCUGGCUGCCGUUCAGCAGCGUUGCGCGACUAUCAGUGCACCAAUACAAGAUACUGACACUGUCGAAGCGGAUAAGGUCUUGGACGAGAAUGCUAGUGGGAAUGCUGCGACCAUCAAACGAGAGCAGUUGGAGGAGGAAGACGAUACUAUUGCGGUUAUAGAAGAUGCCAAUAAAGCUACCCCUCAGGCAAUGGCUCCAACAGCUCCAGAAUCUCACGGAGUUGGGAUGCAAUGCCCACUGUGUCUCGAGAAUAAUUUCCAUGAGAAACAGUACCUGGAGGCGCAUCUAACAAGUGUUCACAGUGUCACUAGGGAUGGUCUUUCUCGGCUUUUGUUGCUCGUGGAUCAGAAAGCGUGGAAGAAAGAAAGUGAAGGUAUUAGCACUCAAGCCUCAUACUCUGAUAAAGUAUCGGAGAAGGCAACAACACCAGUAAAUGAAGGUUUGAAGGAGUGCACAUCCAGUUUCUUGGCCUCUAGUACAAACGCAAUCAAGUGCAACAUCGCCACUGACCCAAACCCCCCUCUCAGAAUGCAAGGAUUCACCUGUCAGCAGUGCGACUCCAGCUUCAAGCACGAGGAACAGCUGCUUCAGCACGCGCAGCAAAACCAACACUUUUCGUCUCAAAACGGAGAGUUCUUGUGUCUCGCGUCGAGCCACGCCAGUCGCCCCUGCUACAUGAGUUUUCGAACCAUUUCAACUAUGAUUAGCCAUUUCCAAGAAUCACACAUGAGCUCGGUUAUUUCGGAGCGCCAUGUCUAUAAGUACCGCUGCAAGCAGUGCUCUCUGGCAUUUAAAACCCAAGAAAAGCUCACCACGCACAUGCUCUACCACACAAUGCGGGAAGCUACAAAGUGCUCGCUUUGCCAACGCAACUUUCGCAGCACGCAGGCACUGCAUAAGCACAUGGAGCAGGCGCACUCGGAAGAUGAAGCAACGGCAACGUCAAACAUUCCACAGACGCCGACGUUGUAUGCCGAUGAGAUGAACAAGCCUCCUCCAACGGAAACCCAUGUGGUUGAAAACGAGGUCACCUUAACUGAUUCGUCUCCGCUACGGCUGGAGUCAGAUCUUGGCAAAGACCCAAGGCGCUUAACACCAAGCCCAAUGUCUCCAGAUUACCAGACCCAACAACAAUAUCUCGCCACAUUAGCAGCUUUGCUCAAACAGCAAUGUAACUCAGAUAGUGUGGGAGCCCUCUCCGAAGCCCCAUCGCUGCCCUCUGGAGAUAUUUCUCAGCACUUGCAGGGUCUACAAAAUUUGCAAAAUCUUCAGCAUAUGCAACAGCAAUUUGGUGCCGUAGCUGCUGGCUCGGGACUACCGAUUAACCCGGUAGAUAUGCUUAAUCUAAUGCAGUUCCACCACUUGAUGUCCCUUAACUUUAUGAACCUGGCACCACCCUUGGUAUUCGGAGCGAGUGCCGCCGGUGGCAAUGCGGUUCCGGUGUGUAGCGCCCAAAAUAACAGCGUUACCCCCACCACAGUGAGUGCUUCUUCGGGAUUAGCUGAUGUUCAGCUUACCAGCGGUAAUAACGUUCUACCAGUUGACUCUUUAAAAGUCCUAGCUCAACCACAGCAGAAUAACAACUCAAACUCUCAGCUUGCCAGCAACCAAAAACGUGCCCGAACGCGUAUUACAGAUGAUCAGUUAAAGAUCUUAAGGGCACACUUUGACAUAAAUAACUCCCCAAGCGAAGAAAGCAUUAUGGAAAUGUCCCAGAAGGCAAAUCUUCCAAUGAAGGUGGUUAAACAUUGGUUCCGUAACACUUUGUUCAAAGAAAGACAGCGCAAUAAGGACUCGCCCUAUAAUUUCAAUAACCCACCGUCAACAACUUUAAAUUUGGAAGAAUAUGAGCGUACAGGACAAGCCAAAGUUACGCCCUUAAAUGAUCCUAGUAGCGUCACCACACAGGCACCAAUGACAUCUUCGACAAGUUCAUCAGUACCAUCUGCGAAUAGCAACUUUACUGCUAAAGAAAAUGCCAAUACCAAAGUAACCACUUUAGGGAAAGCAAGCGCAACCCUGCCCGUUGUAUUUCCCUCUACUGUUCCAAUUUUGACGCCUGUUUCUCGCCCAGAAUCGACCAACUCGAGCGGCAAUAUAUCUGAUUACCUGAGCAACAAUAUGCUUUUCGCACAACAAGGGGGUAAGGACCCGGGAACCUCUUGUUGUGUGGAAGAUCAAAUAAAAUCAGAACCUCAGGAUGAUAUGAUUUUGGCCAGUGACUUUGGGUUUCAAGCGAAACUUCAACCCAACUUCAACUUUUUAAAACAUCAGCAUGAUGUUGUGGACUCCCAAGAGCAGUCGAUAACAAAUCACGAUACUGACAUUUCGCAGGAUCCAUCUCUUCUUGCAAGUUCUUCACUGGCUGUUCACUGUCAAAGUCAACAGCAAACAAAUAUUUUUGAAACGAAAUCCGAGAGUGGUAGCUCCGAUGUGAUGUCACGACCGCCAACUCCCAGCAGUGGAACUGCCGGAAAUCUAUACGGCAGUAUGAACGAUUUAAUAAACCAGCAAUUGGAGAAUAUGGGAAGUAAUAUGGGGCCGCCAAAAAAAUUGCAAAUUGUUGGAAAAACCUUCGAUAAAAACGCAACUCCAAACUCAAGCUCCGCGAGUGCUUGCACUCAAUUCGAAAGUAAUUCCUCAAACUCAUCGAGCUCAUCAUCAUCGACCUCGGGUGGCAAGCGAGCGAACCGAACACGUUUCACGGACUAUCAAAUCAAGGUUUUGCAGGAAUUUUUCGAGAACAAUUCAUACCCGAAAGACAGUGAUCUUGAGUAUUUGAGUAAGCUAUUGUUGUUAUCCCCUAGAGUUAUAGUAGUUUGGUUUCAAAAUGCCAGGCAAAAACAACGCAAGAUAUAUGAGAACCAACCGAAUAACUCCCUCUUUGAAAAUGAGGAGACGAAAAAGCAGAAUAUUAACUAUGCCUGCAAAAAGUGUAGCUUGGUGUUCCAGCGGUACUAUGAGCUUAUACGUCAUCAGAAAAAUCACUGCUUCAAGGAGGAAAACAAUAAGAAGUCAGCCAAGGCACAAAUUGCUGCUGCGCAAAUCGCUCAAAACCUGAGCUCAGAGGAUUCGAACUCAUCCAUGGAUAUACACCAUGUAGGUAUAUUGCCACCAGGCUCCACUGUAGUUUCGCAACCCAUGUCGACAACCGUUUCUGCAAAUUCCUUGCCGGGACAGUACGUGCAGCAAUCUUUUGGCGCUCUGCCUUCACCUCAGCCUCUGUUUGCAAAGUCAUCUUCUCUGACAGACUUCAGUCCUUCCACAACACCCACACCGCCCCAACGAGAACGCAGCAAUAGUUUGGACCAUCCACAACGACCUCCGAAGCUUGACUGUGAUAAAUGCGAUUUGCAGUUUAACCAACUGGAAAAAUUGCGAGAGCAUCAAAUUUUGCACCUGAUGAAUUCCGCUAACAUUUUUACAGACGCAGGCCAGCAGAGCUCUAAUUCGGAAACCAACUUCGGUCCGUUCGGUAGUAUAUUGCAAAGCCUACAACAUGCGGCGGGUCAACAGCAACAGCAACAGUCGAAACACCAACCACCGCCAACAAAAAAACGAAAAUACUCUGACAGCUCCUCCAACGCAGAUGAAAUUUUAACACUAUCAGAGCUCGAGGCUUCGCAUAAAAAGUACGAGUUCCUCUACAAAUAUUUUAUGCAAAAUGAAACGAACCCAGAGAUAAAACAACAGUUCCUAGUGCGCUACCAGCAUAAGAAAGCAUUGCAGGAAGAAGGAAGAGUGCCCGACAUUGAACUUGAGUUUCUUACUAACUUUUAUCAGCAGAGCGAAUUGAAAAAAGUCAGUAAUUAUGAUUUUUUACUGCAGUACUACCACACACAAGAGGAGACAGAUCUAAAGACAAAAGCCGAGCACCCCUUUAGCUCCAUAAAGAAGCCUACGAUUGAGUUUCUGCUACAGUACUACCAACUAAAUGAGUCGAAAAAGUUUUUUCAGUUAGUUGCCUCGCCCCUAGUAACGCCUGAUGGCCCACUUUACAAGCCGUCGCACAUUCCGAAAGAAACGGCGAACGAAACGAUAAGUGUUAUCGGCGAAACACAUUUGGCGCAGGCAACGGAACUACAAAAAGGGGAACAGUUGGGCAUGGACCGGCCACCUGAGGAAAAUAAGUCGCCAGAGAACAAAAUGGAAGUGGAACAGCUCAAUAACAAUAACAUUGAUAUCAACCUGGUUGAGUCAGAUGCAUCCGAGGCAAACGGCAGCCAGUCAGUUGAAAUAAUAGAAGAGACACCAAUAACAAAUAACGACGAUAACAAAUAUUUAGACUCAAAAUCCUUACAAAAAGUUGAGAAGGACAAGUCACAGUACCUACACAAUCUUGAGGACUUCCUUGAUGCCACAAUGAUUGAGAACAGCUCUCAAACCUUGACAUUUAAUGACGAAGACAGAGCAUACCAAAAGGAGGAAUCAAAUAUAUCUAACAAUAAGUCAAACGAGUUGGAGAAACGGACUGCUGUGUCACCGGUGAAUGUUUCCUCUAAGCAAAACAAACGUCUUCGUACGACCAUACUUCCGGAGCAACUGAAUUUUCUGUACGAAUGCUACCAAUCCGAAUCGAACCCAAGCAGAAAGAUGCUCGAGGAGAUUUCCAAGAAAGUAAAUCUAAAGAAACGCGUAGUGCAAGUCUGGUUUCAAAACUCUCGGGCAAAAGACAAAAAAUCCCGCAAUCAACGACACUAUGCUCACAUAUCCGACGAUAACAGCUACGAUGGCUCCAGUGGCAAGGAGGUUGCCAGCGAUUUAAAGGCCAAUGGUGUGUCCGGCUUGGAACACGACCUCGAGGUAAAUCUACAGGACUGCCAUCUCUGCCAAGUCACCCAAGUCAACAUCCGAAAGCACGCUUUCAGCGUAGAACAUAUCUGCAAGAUGAAGAAGCUACUCGAACAAACCACCGAGCUUUACGCCCAAAGCAAUGGCAGCGGCAGCGACGACAACGAUUCCGACAGGGAGAAAAGGUUCUACAACUUAUCGAAGGCUUUUCUGUUCCAACACGUUGUGCCCAAUGCGGCCGGCAAUGCAAAUCUUACCCCAGGUUCCAGACAGGAUUCAGAUUCAGUUCCUGAAGAGAACUACGAUAAUGCUGGCAUUGAUUCAAAGAGUCACAUCCAGCACAACUUAUCUGCCGAUGAUGUCGGCACUGAUGAUGUGCGAAAAAUUACUGGUAAUCAGGAACUUAUGCAGCAGCUAUUCAACCGAAACCAUAUCACCGUUAUAGGUGGAAAGUAAAUGGAAGAGUUUGUAUGGCCUUAAUACCAUGGAUAGUGAUUAAAAUGUAGACUACGAACAAUCGCACAAUGAUAGUCAAAAAUACUUACGCGAAAACGAAAAGAAACAUAAAUAAACCACACUACAAAAACUAUAAGAGUUCCUAUUUUGCAGAAAUUUAUAAAAACAUUGACAUUCCAUGAACCAAUUCACUAUACAGAUAUAGUAUAUGUAUUGAAAUUCUUGCGAAUACAUAUUUCAAUAUACAUAAGUAAGAAUUUCUUAAAUAAACGGCAGUGUUCCUAACUAUUCAAAAUAUAAAUUAGCAAUAAUCAUAUAGUAUGCACAUUUUUGGCAAUCUUAAAAGAAUCUAAAUGGAGGGCCUAACUUAAAUAAGUUAAAACCUAAAUAAUAAAUUAGAUUUAAUGAAACGUAAACUGAGUUCCUAGCAUAUGAUUGCUUUAUGCCUUUGUUUUCUACAUAAGAAUAUAAAUUAUGAAUACCGAAAUACAUAAUUUCGAAAACUUAAGACAUAUGUAUGGUGGUUCCUACUUAAUUUUCGGAAAUUUUAUAUGAAGAAACAGCCUUUUGUUUUUAAUUGUGUCAUAAUUAUGCUGAGAGUAAAUGUGCCAAUAAUAUAUUUUGCAAUACAUGCUUAUAGCAUAGAAAACAUUGCAUCUAUGAAAAUUGAAUAUGCCCCAAAAUUGAAUACGUUCCGUUUUUUAAGAAUAUAGUGAAAUUAUCCACAACAUUUCAAACAGGAAAGGAAAAAAUACAGUUUAGGAAAAUCCCAAGUUUUAACUGCUUCUUGAAAACUUUAAUAUAGUUUGCUUGUUAAAUAUUUGUUAUUGGGUAUGAAACUCAUAGAAAAUUAAAAUUUUGUUUUCAUUUUAUGCUUUAUUAAAUAUUCUAUUACAAUAUUUUUUUAUAUUGAGACGGAAAACAAUAAUUGUAAGCUUCUGGGAAGGAAAAGAGGUUACUAUUUCAAAAUUGAUUUUGAAUUUUUUUACUGAAACUUCCAUCACUAAAUAUAGAGAAGGCAAAAUCAGAACUUAUUAUACCGUUAAUUUAUACCGUUAAUUUCUUUCCGCCAAUCGAUAACAUUUUGAAAAUACACGUGGUAAAAAUGUAUAGUAUUAGACUGAUUCCUUUUGCAAAAAAAAUCCUACUAUUCCUGUUUUAAUUUCUUGAAUGCCAUUUAAGCAUUAUAUAUGUUCAUAUGCUUUUCUAUAAGCAUAAGAGUAUUGUUAACUGCAAAUAAUAAUAUAUAUACGUUGCGAAACAUAAGAAAAAUAUACUAAGAAGUUCCUAUAGAAUUAAACAGAAAUAUAUACAAAAAUAUAUUUACUUGUAAGCUCAAAAAUAACUAUACAUGAAAUAACUUUCUGUUUAUUAAAUUUUAAAUUUAGGACAGACUAUUUAUGAGAAAUUAACCACAUAGGUCCACAUUAAUGUUAGAUUAUUCAAAAUGUGUAAAUUGUUUGAAACACCAUAAUUAUUAAAUAAAAUGAUUAUUUUCAUACCUAUAUACUUAAGCAUUCAUAAUUGCCAACACACACACAUAACUAUAUACACCUAUAUACAACUCUAACAUACACUCUCAUAUAAGUUUAUAAUCGUAAAACAAGUCCCUCGCAACUGAAAAAUUGUAUUGUACGUAUUUGUUGGAGAAAGAAACCCAAAUCUUUAAUGACACUGUAUGCAUUAGUUUACUAAGGUGACACAACAAUUUUAAAAACUAUAAAAAAUCGAAAAUAUGUAUCAUAGGCGAUAUGAAAACUGUCGUUGCUCAACUGACAACCAACAACCAACACAUAUGCAUGUACAUGUAUUAUGUAUAUAUAUAGAUAUAUAUAUAUAUAAUACAAAACAUAUCACCAUUGACAAAAACUUUUUUCCCCUUCUUUUUUGUUGAUAUACAAAAUCUAUGUAUGAAAAUCUUUUGUUUAUACAUAUGUAAGAAUUAAUAUAAUUUAUAAUGGUUGUGUACAUUUUGUUCCCCUUACAUUACAUUUUUUCCGAACUUAUACUUUUUAUUUAUUUAAAAAUAAAAAAAACAUUUUUGUCAGCCAUAUACAUAGAGACAUAUGUGUGCAUGUUAACCAUAGCUUUUAGUCGAUCGAUUUAAACAACAUAAAAUCACUUAACUCGUUCUUUCAGAGUAAGUAAACAUAAACGAAAAAGUAAUUUUAAUGACAACCUAUGUAUUAAUCAUAGUAACAAAAAAUAUUUGGUAAAACUCGCAGAUAUGGAAGUAUACAUAUAAAGUUCCUAUAUAUUUAAUAAUUUGCAAACGAUGUGCAUAUAUUAUAAAAUUAUAACUUAAUAAAGAUAUGAAAUACAAA